rfam:Glossina morsitans morsitans, isolate Yale, WGS project CCAG01000000 data, contig: ctg10020234
CCACGUUGAAAUCGGGUUUCGUAAACAGCGCACUGUAUACGAUAAAACUAAGUUCGUUGUCGACGAAACCUGCAUAUAACGUGG